rnacentral:rRNA from 1 species
UACGUAGGGGCCUAGCGUUGUCCGGAAUUAUUGGGCGUAAAGAGCUCGUAGGCGGUUCGGCAAGUCGGAUGUGAAAUCUCCACGCUCAACGUGGAGGGGCCAUUCGAAACUGCCGUGACUCGAGUCCGGUAGGGGAGUGUGGAAUUCCCGGUGUAGCGGUGAAAUGCGCAGAUAUCGGGAGGAACACCGGUGGCGAAGGCGGUUCUCUGGGCCUUACCUGACGCUGAGGAGCGAAAGCGCGGGGAGCGAACAGG